UGGGGGAUUGGAAGUGUCUUCAUGUAAAUGUUCAUUUAUUUGUAUUUUGAACUAUUAGGAGAAUCUAAUAUGCCAAAUCAGUAAUACAAAUGUUCAGAUGAUUUUUCCUGUUGAUCAUGCAUUUGUGUCUGCACACAACCAUUGUAUAUCACUUUAUUCUGAUGUGCAGGUGUGUGUAGCUUAGAAGAAACGGAAUAAUAAUCAUCUAUUAUUGCUUGGUUCAUGAUUAUUAAACGAUUAUGGCUUUAAAAAGUCUACAAAUUCCUUCUGUUCAUAUACGAAUGUGCAGAUUUGUUAUUAAUAUCUGGUCCCCUGUUAUUAUGAUUUCAUAAACAGUGUACGGAUAUGUGCUCUAACUUUGGAGGACCUCCACGUGAAAGAAAAUUGCAACAAUUGAAUUCUUCCGGAGGGUAUGGUCUUUAAUUUAUUUUCUCAACUUCUCGUAAGAUUAAUAUAUUUCAUUCAGUAGGCACAGCAUGGGUUUGUUUUGGAAAGGGGGUGGAGGGAUUUCUCAUCCAUAUAUGGUUACUUGAUGAGCUUUUGACUGUAUUUCCUCAGUCGUGUAAAGGAAGAUC
rnacentral:lncRNA from 1 species